GGUUUCAUGGGGUAGCGGUUAUCCCCCGAGAUUCUGAGUUUGAAUUUGUAAAAAAUUCAUCCGAGUCUUCUCGUGACCCCGGUUCGAUUCCGGGUGAGACCU